rnacentral:rRNA from 1 species
AACGACUCUCGGCAACGGAUAUCUCGGCUCUCGCAUCGAUGAAGAACGUAGCGAAAUGCGAUACCUGGUGUGAAUUGCAGAACCCCGCGAACCAUCGAGUCUUUGAACGCAAGUUGCGCCCGAGGCCAUCCGGUCGAGGGCACGCCUGCCUGGGCGUCACGCCAU